rnacentral:rRNA from 1 species
UACGUAGGGUGCGAGCGUUAAUCGGAAUUACUGGGCGUAAAGUGUGCGCAGGUGGCUUCGCAAGUCGAGUGUGAAAUCCCCGGGCUUAACCUGGGAAUUGCGCUCGAAACUACGGAGCUGGAGUGUGGCAGAGGGAGGUGGAAUUCCACGUGUAGCGGUGAAAUGCGUAGAGAUGUGGAGGAACACCGAUGGCGAAGGCAGCCUCCUGGGCCAGCACUGACGCUCAUGCACGAAAGCGUGGGGAGCAAACAGG